ensembl:snRNA U6 U6 spliceosomal RNA
AUUCUCAUUUAAACAGCAUAUAUACUAAAAUUGAAAGGAUACAGAGAUUAGCAUGGUCUCUGUUCAAGGACGACACAAAUAUUUAUGAAGUGUUCUAUAUUUAA